GCCCCGGUGGUGUAGCCCGGUUAGCAUGCGGGACUGUCAAUCCCGCGACGCGGGUUCAAAUCCCGCCCGGGGCGCCA
rnacentral:tRNA from 1 species